GGCCCGCGGGCUAGAGGCGCUUUACCUCCCGGCGGGAGCGCCUCUCCUCCGCGUCCCUCGCCCCAGCCCCCUGCCCGCCCCACUUUGGGACCCUCCAGCCGCUUUCCCCACAAAUGAAAUCUCUGCAAUGAACAAACGAAAGUGGCGCGGAUUUCGGGGCGCCCAGCCGGAGCGAGCGCGGCCGCCAGCCGCAAGUCCGCAGCCGUGUCCCGCGCCCCACGCCGGCCUCCCCGGCGGCAGCCGGAGACCAGCGCCAGCACCGGCGGGGCAGCAGCAGAUGCGGGCCGAGAGCCGGGCAGGGGCGCAGAGGCGGCGUGGAUCGGCGCGGCGGGGAGCUCACCGCGAGGCUGGAGGCUGCGUCUGCGGGCGCACCAGGAGCUCAGGCAGCGGGCGAUCGAACGCUCUGUGGCGGGCGGUGGACGCUGCUGAAGCUCUGGCUCUGAGCUAACGGCUCCCCCGUCCGUGGGACCAAGCCCAGCAUUUUACAAACCCAGCUCCUUUCUCCAAGGGUCCUCAGAGUGCCCCUCCGCCACCCCCUGCAGGGCGCCGCAGACAAGGCGUUGACCUUGCGCUCCCUCCCCUCGCUGGGGAAGGACACACUAGCUGGCGUCAGCCCGGCUGGCCUGGGAAGUCGGACUAAGGACCCGAACUGGAACCCUCCACACCAGACAGCACAGACCACCCCAAGGCUGCUCAAUCCGCCCAAAGCCAAAAGAGCUCCCCUGCCAGGACCUUGGUGCUGUGGAGACUGCGGGGAACCUGCUCUGCCCACACCUGCUCUGGCCCCUAGACAGAAGCACCUGGAGCCAACCACGGAACUCCAGAUCCCAGCUGUGUGACUGAAUCCACUCCAGCCUCUCUGAGCCAAAGCUGCUUGCAGAAGGGAGAGAUCCCAAUUCGAAGACUCCUGCGCAGAGCCUGUGGCCCUCUCUGCCAGGCCUCAGGGUGCCUGAGACACUCACCUCUCUGCCUCUGCAGUUGGGGCUGAGGCUGGGGCUGGCCGCCAGCCUCAGUUCUGGGAGCGCUGGGGUCGCCUGGGCCACAGGCCGCAGCAGCUCACCUCAGGACUGGGCUCUCUGGCCACUCUGGCCUGCUGGGGCUCAGGCUCUGGGGCAGGCUGGGCAGGGGGCUGAGCUGGCAGCGAUUCAGAGCCCUGGGGCUGGGGGCUGGAAUCCACCUCCUCCCACACAAGCUCGGCGGUGACUCUUCGGCCCCUGGGGAAAAGCAAAAAGAUGUUGCUGAGAUGACCUCUUUUAAAAGCAAAGCCCCCCGCCAAUACACACCAAGCCUGAGCCCUGUCCCAUCCUCCUCCCCGGGUUCCUCCAGGUCACCUUGUCACGAUUUGGGCAGCGGCUCCCCCUCCAGCCCCUCCCCUGCCUAGAGCUCCCUUUUUCAAAGUAUAAGGGAGGGAAGAAGUGGUGAGAAGUUUGCCCAGAAAGGGCUUCCCGGUGCUGAUGGAGAGGCCGAGACCCUUCUGUUGGACAGGCUGCCCUGUUCCUGGGUGAGGGUGGGCUUCUGCCUGGCACUGGGGGUGGAGGGGUGCACAUGAAUGGCCCGCCUUGAGGGGUCACGGCACAGAAUAUGAAAGCCCCCUCCACCUCCAAACACUCCCAGCUUGGAAGGAGACAAGGAGGGGGCCCCAGCAAAAGCCACUGGACACACAGCUCUGCCUUGACGAGGCCAGUGAGGGAGGGGGUGGCCGUGCUUCCUGGGGAAAUGAACCCCCUCCCCACAGACACCACCCUGGGUGGGUUGAGGAGUCUGGGUCCAGGGUGCAACAGAGAAAAACUUCAUGCAUGAAUGAGCAUUCCCAGGGAAACUGCCUUGGUCCCAUGGCCCCUCUGUGUGCCAGGGAGGCUGGGAGGGCAGCAAGGGGGACCAGGUGCGCCAUCAGGAGGAGAGAAGCUAAACCUAGGGGGGACAUGGAGGGCCGUUGUUGCCUCUCCUGGCCUUUCUCCUCAGUCUCCUGUCCAAUUUCUCGCUGGUGGUCAGGAGGCAUAGGGAGGCGGGAGAGAGGGAAGCUUUACCUUUAAAUUGGUGUAUAUAUAUAUAAAUAAAAUAUCUGCGCCAGAA
rnacentral:antisense_RNA from 1 species